GCGGGAGUAGCUCAGUUGGUAGAGCGGCAGCCUUCCAAGCUGCAGGUCGCGGGUUCGAGCCUCGUCUCCCGCUCGA
rnacentral:tRNA from 1 species